AAACCCCUGUACCCCUACUCUCUACACCAGAUACAACUAAACCCCCUGUACCCCUACUCUCUACACCAGAUACAACUAAACCCCCUGUACCCCUACCCUCUACACCAGAUACAACUAAACCCCCUGUACCCCUACCCUGUACCCCUACACUCUUCACCGGCUACAACUAAACUCACCUAAACCUACACUCUGUACCCCUACCCUCCAUUGCCCUACACCACUAUCCUGCCCCUGAGAAGGAGAGUAGAGGACACAAUGGCAAGAGCGAGAGGAAGAUGGCAAGGAGGAUGAGGAGGUCAGAGGAAGUAGCAUUUCUUUGGUAGAGUGUGCUCCAUCUGACAGAUUGAGAAUUUUUUUUUUCAUGAAAGAAAUGCAAAGUAAUACACAGUGGGGAGAACAGGUAUUUGAUAACCUGCCGAUUUUGCAGGUUUUCCUACUUACAAAGCAUGUAGAGGUCUGUAAUUUUUAUCAUAGGUACACUUCAACUGUGAGAGACGGAAUCUAAAACAAAAAUCCAGUGUAUCAAAUACUUGUUCUCCCCACUGUGUGUGUGUGUGUGUGUAUGUAUAUAUAUAUAUGUAUAUGUAAGUAAGGGAUAAGGUACUGUAGAAGUAAGGAAUGAAGACGCCAAAGUUCUGCGCAUUACCUUGGAAAAAAUGGAGGACAAGGCAGAGCCGAGUCUCUUUGCGGGGGUCAUUUUUCUAAGAUGGUGUACAGAACGUCGGCGUCUAUCCCGCUUAUACCACAGUUCCCACAAUUAUUUUGUUAUAAGACAAUUCAUGCUUUCUUAUCUUUUGGUUGCUAGAGACGUGACCCAGUCGGUCGUUCAAUACUGUCCUUCUUAUCUUUUGCUUGUUAACUAGCCAACUAGCUACGGCUAACACAGUCACGACGUCGGCAGCCAGAAUAACAGCAAAGUAGCUGGAUUUUUGCAUUUUUGUUUAAGCUGUUUUCUAGUGACAUUCAUUUGGAUAAUGAGCUGAUGAUCCCCCCUGGCAUAGUGCCUUCUCAUCAUGACGACGAGAUCACAUUGCAUAUCAAACACUAACGCAAGGCUAGACGCUAAGUAGUUUGUUGCUAGCAAACCUGCUAAAAUGACAACCUAAUUCAAACAUAUCAAUUGCUGAAAACAGCUGGACAAACUCGAAAUGUCACGUGGCAGGAUUUGAAAGCAUAGCCGCCCAUUUGCGUUACGACUAUACCGACAGUAGGGGACCGGAGAAAUCCAUGUUCAUCACACACCACGUUGGGUCAUCAGAUGCUCCAAAAGAAAAUGUCAAAAGCAACAACAACAACAAAAAGCUAAAUCAAUUGCUACCUAGAUAGACCUGCGUUUAGUGUGGUUGUUGGUUUAGCUUUCUGUAACUUUGUAGUAUGGGCUGCAUGUGUGUCGGUGCUUAUUGCGUUAUGAUUACAAAGUGAGCCCCGUUAUCUUUUCCAACUCCCAUUUAUAUCUGGUUUUAAUGUCCAGUCUAGAUUGUCCUUCUAGCUAAUCAGAAACGAGUAUUCAACAAUGCUGUGGUAUAAUUUAAAGUGUAAUGCUUUACUUUUGUUUAAACUAAUCCCCAACAUCGCUAAACACACAGCAACAACUUGUCUGAGGCAUUUCUGGUCUGUUCGUCUCUUAGAAGGGUUUUAAUAUCUGUUUCCACCUUCUCUGUCUGGGUUGGAGUUUAGAGAGAAUGUUUUUUUUUUUUUGACUUGUUUCUGACUCAGAAAGCAGGAAGUAGAUCCUUCAAAGCAGGAAGUUAAAUGUGAAAUUAUUGCUUUUUAAUGAAAAUUCCACUAUAUUUUGGACAAUCAUGGUAGGCAGCUGAGGCAGAGCUGUGUCCUUUGUACCUCACCAACAAUACUUGGUCUUCUGUGUUAUUGUACGUAGUUGUUGUUAUUUGUGAACUCAGGUUCACCUUUUUAUCUCAUAUUAGGUUGUGGUUGAAGAUCUGAUAACAUUCGGUAUCAAAAAUAGAGAAAAUCAGAAACUACUUUUUCACGGCAUUGCUAUUCCAAAUUUUACACUUACACCGCUCGAACAUCGAGAAGAUUCAAAUACUGCUCGGUUUUUUCCUGGAAAACUUGACUUUUUUUUCGUCCUCAUGCUGAGCUAGCAGUAGCCACAGUAUCUUCUGGCAAAUUACACCUACUUAUACUUUUAUUGUGGACACAAUAUAGUGUGGACAGUAGAAUGAUUUCCAUUAAUUUCUCUGAGAACAAUAUCUUCAUUUAACUCCAUGUCAUCAGGCGGAUGCUGUCCCUCUUCCUCUACUUUCUCCUCCUCUUCCUCACUUCUUCCACUCCUCUGCUCUGGCUCUCUGUGUGUUUUCUCUCCAAUACUACUACUACUACCACCACCACUGCUACAACCUCAACGCGCACAUGUGUGUGUGUGUACACACUACAGUGUGUGUUAGUGUACUCCAAAUGCCUCCCUCUCUGAACCUGGUACUACCACAAAUCUAUUUUUAACUGCUUGUGUUUUAGUUUUCAGAUUUUCUGUGAGGAAGUCAUGUUAAAUGUAACUGGUGUAUGUAUGUAUGUUAGGAUUUUAUUGUCUAUUUUGAGUUUCGCAAAAACAACCGUUUUUUUUGUUUGUUUUUUUCUCGAAUAUUUGAGUUUUUAUUGAUGUUGUCGGAGAAGGGAGGAUAAGAUUUCAAGAUAUCCAAAGUAGUGGUCGUCUGUUGGCCUACAGAUCUGUAUGUAGUCCGACUCUGCAACUGAAUAGGAGAACACGGGUUGUGUCCCAAAAAUGGAAUCAUAUUCCCGAAGCUAACUGGCAACAAACAGGUCUGGGACCAGGCUAACUGGCUACAAACAGGUCUGGGGCCAGGCUAACUGGCAACAAACAGGUCUGGGACCAGGCUAACUGGCUACAAUCAGAUCUGGGACCAGGCUAACUGGCUACAAACAGGUCUGGGACCAGGCUAACUGGCUACAAACAGGUCUGGGACCAGGCUAACUGGCUACAAACAGGUCUGGGACCAGGCUAAUUUUUUUACGCUCCAGUCUAAGUCUGAGAUCAUCUUCCUUUGUAUUCCCUCCUUUCUUUUCAUUUAUUUCUAAGAAGAUUCUAUUAUCAAGUGAGACAUUUAAAAAAAAAAAAAUUUUAUUGGUUGUAGUCGUUCUUCAAUGUCCCGCCCACUGCAGUCUCAUUUUGAUUUGAUUGGUUGUAUUACGACGGAGAUGUGGUUGUCCCACCUAGCUUAUCGUAACAUGAAUGCACUAACUUGUAAAUCGCUCUGGAUAAGAAUAUCUGUUAUCAUGAUGACGUUGACAAAUGAAAUGCUAUUUCUGGGACUUCUUUCUCCUCUGCGAUAUUAAACAAGCAACUUGUCUGAGUGAAUGCAAUGUGUAAACAAUACUAAGUUAUACCGGAUCAAGAAAAAUCAUUAUUUUAGAAACUUAAAAAAAAAAAAUUAAAAUAAAGUUUGUGCGAAAUAUAACGAUAAAAUUAUAAUGACACAUUUAUUUGUAUUUAUUAAUUUUUUUGUUCUCUUUUUAAUAAAUGAAUGUCGUUUUUUAAAAUUUUAUUUAACUAGGCAAGUCAGGUAAGAACAAAUUCUUAUUUACAAUGACGGCCUACACCGGCCAAAACCGUAACCCGGACGACGCUGGACCAAUUGUGCACCGCCCUAUGGGUCUCCCAAUCACGGUCGUUAAGUAUAAAUGGUAUGUAAACUAGGUGUGGCCAUUUUGAAUGAAUAGUUGAUAUCUCCUGGAGGUUUAGUGGAAGCAAGUAGAAGUUAGGAGUUUUAUGUUUUAGCAUGGUCAUCUACUGUGUCUGAAAGAGAGAAUGAAGGUCAUUUAUCAGAUGUGCUGUUGUAAAAAAAUAAAUGUUUGAUGCUUA
ensembl:lncRNA